rnacentral:tRNA from 1 species
GUAGUUGUGGCCGAGUGGUUAAGGCGAUGUACUAGAAAUCCAUUCGCAGGUUCGAAUCCUGCUGACUACG